rnacentral:rRNA from 1 species
AUUGAACGCUGGCGGCAGGCCUAACACAUGCAAGUCGAGCGGAUGAAGGGAGCUUGCUCCUGGAUUCAGCGGCGGACGGGUGAGUAAUGCCUAGGAAUCUGCCUGGUAGUGGGGGAUAACGUCCGGAAACGGGCGCUAAUACCGCAUACGUCCUGAGGGAGAAAGUGUGGGAUCUUCGGACCUCACGCUAUCAGAUGAGCCUAGGUCGGAUUAGCUAGUUGGUGGGGUAAAGGCCUACCAAGGCGACGAUCCGUAACUGGUCUGAGAGGAUGAUCAGUCACACUGGAACUGAGACACGGUCCAGACUCCUACGGGAGGCAGCAGUGGGGAAUAUUGGACAAUGGGCGAAAGCCUGCUCCAGCCAUGCCGCGUGUGUGAAGAAGGUCUUCGGAUUGUAAAGCACUUUAAGUUGGGAGGAAGGGCAGUAAGUUAAUACCUUGCUGUUUUGACGUUACCAACAGAAUAAGCACCGGCUAACUUCGUG